UUGGAGGGCAAGUCUGGUGCCAGCAGCCGCGGUAAUUCCAGCUCCAAUAGCGUAUAUUAAAGUUGUUGCAGUUAAAAAGCUCGUAGUUGAAUUUCAGGGUUUGUCUAUCGGUCGGGCUUUAUUGUCCGCACUGAUUUGAUGGAUCCUUACCUUCUGAAUAACCUUCAUGCCAUUAAGUUGGUGCGUUGGGGGAGCAGAGCUAUUACCUUGAAAAAAUUAGAGUGCUUAAAGCGGGCUAUCGCUUGAAUAGAUUAGCAUGGAAUAAUGAAAUAGGACGGCAUGGUUCUAUUUUGUUGGUUUCUAGGAUCACCGUAAUGAUUAAUAGGGAUAGUUGGGGGCAUUAGUAUUCAAUUGUCAGAGGUGAAAUUCUUGGAUUUAUCGAAGACUAACUACUGCGAAAGCAUUUGCCAAGGAUGUUUUCAUUAAUCAAGAACGAAAGUUAGGGGAUCGAAGACGAUCAGAUACCGUCGUAGUCUAAAGCAUAAACUAUGCCGACUAGGGAUCGGACGAAGUUACUUUAAAGGGACUCGUUCGGCGCCUUACGGGAAAC
rnacentral:rRNA from 1 species